rnacentral:rRNA from 1 species
UACGUAGGGUCCGAGCGUUGUCCGGAAUUAUUGGGCGUAAAGCGCGUGUAGGCGGUCCGGUAAGUCCGCUGUGAAAGUCGGGGGCUCAACCCUCGGAUGCCGGUGGAUACUGUCGGGCUUGAGUACGGAAGAGGCGAGUGGAAUUCCUGGUGUAGCGGUGAAAUGCGCAGAUAUCAGGAGGAACACCAAUUGCGAAGGCAGCUCGCUGGGACGUUACUGACGCUGAGACGCGAAAGCGUGGGGAGCAAACAGG